AAUUCUCAACUAAACAAUGGUUUAUUCUAUCGUUUAGCUUGGAUCUGAGGGUUUUGUCGGUCCCUAGCUGGUCGACUCCCUUUAAAAGCAUUAGCGGAUUUUUCCAUCGUGGAUACGCCUCGAUUUGAUAAUAUCUAUGUCGUCGCGCUGAAGCGGUAAUCUGCUCAUAACCGUCCUUUGCUGGACAAUUUAUUGACU
rnacentral:misc_RNA from 1 species